CCGAAACGGUGACCGACCUUCGGGGAGCUUGCACAGGUGCUGCAUGGCUGUCGUCAGCUCGUGUCGUGAGAUGUUCGGUUAAGUCCGCUAACGAGCGCAACCCUCGUCGUAUGUUAUAUGUGUCAUACGAGACUGCCGGUAAAAGCCGGAGGAAGGUGAGGAUUGAUGUCAAGUCAGCAUGACCUUUAUAUCCAGGGCUACACACACGCUACAAUGGUCUGUACAAUGGGUAGCCAAGCCGCGAGGCGGAGCCAAUCCUGAAAAGCAGGACCUCAGUUCAGAUUGCAGUCUGCAACUCGACUGCAUGAAGCCGGAGUUGCUAGUAACCGCAGGUCAGCAAUACUGCGGUGAAUUACCGGUUCCCGGGUCUU
rnacentral:rRNA from 1 species